rnacentral:rRNA from 1 species
CAAUAGCGUAUAUUUAAGUUGCUGCAGUUAAAAAGCUCGUAGUUGGAUUUCGGGUGGGAAUGGCCGGUCCGCCGUUUCGGUGUGCACUUGCUACGCCCACCUUGCUGCCGGGGACGUGCUCUUGAGUUCACGCUCGGGACACGGAGUCGGCGAGGUUACUUUGAGUAAAUUAGAGUGUUCAAAGCAGGCCUACGCUCUGAAUACAUUAGCAUGGAAUAACACGAUAGGACUCUGGCCUAUCUUGUUGGUCUGUAGGACCGGAGUAAUGAUUAAGAGGGACAGUCGGGGGCAUUCGUAGUUCAUUGUCAGAGGUGAAAUUCUUGGAUUUAUGAAAGACGAACUACUGCGAAAGCAUUUGCCAAGGAUGUUUUCAUUGA